rnacentral:ncRNA from 1 species
GUUCUGGUCGGUAACCUAGAACGCGAGUAAUAAGAGGAG